rnacentral:rRNA from 1 species
CCUACGGGAGGCUGCAGUGAGGAAUAUUGGCCAAUGGACGAGAGUCUGAACCAGCCAAGUAGCGUGAAGGAUGACUGCCCUAUGGGUUGUAAACUUCUUUUAUAUGGGAAUAAAAUGUUCCACGUGUGGGAUUUUGUAUGUACCAUAUGAAUAAGGAUCGGCUAACUCCGUGCCAGCAGCCGCGGUAAUACGGAGGAUCCGAGCGUUAUCCGGAUUUAUUGGGUUUAAAGGGAGCGUAGGUGGAUUGUUAAGUCAGUUGUGAAAGUUUGCGGCUCAACCGUAAAAUUGCAGUUGAAACUGGCAGUCUUGAGUACAGUAGAGGUGGGCGGAAUUCGUGGUGUAGCGGUGAAAUGCUUAGAUAUCACGAAGAACUCCGAUUGCGAAGGCAGUUCACUGGACUGCAACUGACACUGAGGCUCGAAAGUGUGGGUAUCAAACAGGAUUAGAUACCCGUGUAGUC